UUGUCAGGGGGCGCAGGCGCAGUGUGGUGAGGUCGUCGGAGGAGCGAAGGCGCCAGGUGACCGUUGUCAGGGGGCGCAGGCGCAGUGUGGUGAGGUCGUCGGAGGAGCGAAGGCGCCAGAUGCUGCACUGGAUAAGUAGGACGUACUCAUACUGAAGAAUGGAAUUACUGUUUGGCAAUGAGGGAAGCACAGGACUGUCCGAAGUGCCUUCCACCAAAAAGUUUGAUUUUCCCUUGGCAAAUUUGAAGACCUUUCAAUCCAAGCAGAACAUUGUCGUGUCGGGGUAUUUUUGUUGCUAUUUCUGUCAUCAAAAAUAGAAGAAUCAGUUGAAG